rnacentral:rRNA from 1 species
UGGGGAAUAUUGCACAAUGGGGGAAACCCUGAUGCAGCGACGCCGCGUGAGCGAUGAAGGCUUUCGAGUCGUAAAGCUCUGUCCUAUGGGAAGAUAAUGACGGUACUACAGAAGAAAGCCCCGGCUAAUUACGUGCCAGCAGCCGCGGUAAUACGUAAGGGGCGAGCGUUGUCCGGAAUUAUUGGGCGUAAAGAGUGCGUAGGCGGCAAAUUAAGUCAGAUGUGAAAACUAAGGGCUCAACCCAUAGAUUGCAUCUGAAACUGAUAUGCUUGAGUCAAGGAGAGGAAAGUGGAAUUCCUAGUGUAGCGGUGGAAUGCGUAGAUAUUAGGAGGAAUACCGGUGGCGAAGGCGACUUUCUGGACUUGAACUGACGCUGAGGCACGAAAGCGUGGGGAGCAAACAGG